rnacentral:rRNA from 1 species
CCUACGGGAGGCAGCAGUCGAGAAUUUUUCACAAUGGACGAAAGUCUGAUGGAGCGACGCCGCGUGGAGGAUGAAGGUUCUUGGAUUGUAAACUCCUGUCACUGCAGAACAAGGCUACGCAUGUUAAUAGCAAGCGUAGUUGAUGGUAUGCGGAGAGGAAGGGACGGCUAACUCUGUGCCAGCAGCCGCGGUAAU